rnacentral:rRNA from 1 species
AUUGAACGCUGGCGGCAUGCUUUACACAUGCAAGUCGAACGGUAACAGGCCGCAAGGUGCUGACGAGUGGCGAACGGGUGAGUAAUGCAUCGGAACGUGCCCAGUCGUGGGGGAUAACGCAGCGAAAGCUGUGCUAAUACCGCAUACGAUCUAUGGAUGAAAGCGGGGGACCGUAAGGCCUCGCGCGAUUGGAGCGGCCGAUGUCAGAUUAGGUAGUUGGUGGGGUAAAGGCUCACCAAGCCAACGAUCUGUAGCUGGUCUGAGAGGACGACCAGCCACACUGGGACUGAGACACGGCCGAGACUCCAACGGGAGGAAGCAGUGGGGAAUUUUUGACAAUGGGCGCAAGCCUGAUCCAGCAAUGCCGCGUGCAGGAAGAAGGCCUUCGGGUUGUAAGCUGCUUUUGUCAGGGAAGAAAUCUUCUGGGUUAAUACCUCGGGAGGAUGACGGUACCUGAAGAAUAAGCACCGGCUAACUACGUGCCAGCCGCCGCGGUAACAC